UGACGAGAAGACCUAUGAAGCUAACUAUAAGAUUAUAUUAGAAAAUUUAUUUAUAGAUUGUUUGGGGUAAAAUAUAAUAUUAUUAUUAGUGAUUUAAACACACAAUGAUCUUUAUAAAAUAUUAGGAAAUAGCUACUCUAGGGAUAACAGCGUAAUAAUUAUUAGAGACCCUAUCGAAAUAAUUGUUUGCGACCUCGAUGUUGAAUUAUGGAGCUUAAUUAAAGCAGCAUUUAAUUAAGGUUGUCUGUUCGACAGUUAAUCCAUACAUGAUCUGAGUUCAAACC
rnacentral:rRNA from 1 species